CUUCCACAGUUGCAAAUAAGUAGAGGAAAAAAUGAAAAUAUCUUUGACUAUCUAAACAUAAUUUCUUAUCCUUUUCUUUUCUUUCUUUUUCUCUCACCCCCUCUUUUCUUUCUUCUUCCUUUCUUUAUGUUUUGCAUCUGAGCAUCAAGCAUCUGUUCGAAAGAAGGAACGAGCACAAUAAUUGGAUUUGACAAUUAAGAUUGCAAAG
rnacentral:misc_RNA from 1 species